GUGAGGAAUAUUGCGCAAUGGAGGCAACUCUGACGCAGCCAUGCCGCGUGCAGGAAGAAGGCGCUACGCGUUGUAAACUGCUUUUAACCGGGAAGAAACCCCAGGACGUGUCCUGGGUUGACGGUACCGGAGGAAUAAGCACCGGCUAACUUCGUGCCAGCAGCCGCGGUAAUACGAAGGGUGCAAGCGUUAUCCGGAUUCAUUGGGUUUAAAGGGUGCGUAGGAGGAGCGUUAAGUCAGUGGGGAAAUUCUUCAGCUUAACUGUAGACGUGCCAUUGAUACUGGCGCUCUUGAGUGCGCUUGAAGUGGGUGGAAUGUGCCGUGUAGCGGUGAAAUGCUUAGAUAUGGCACAGAACACCAAUUGCGAAGGCAGCUCACUAAGGCGAUACUGACGCUGAGGCACGAAAGCGUGGGGAUCGAACAGGAUUAGAAACCCGGGUAGUCC
rnacentral:rRNA from 1 species